GUGGGUUUCACAACUACAAUAACAGAAUUUUUCUGUCAAUCCCUUUAUGCUCUUUUCUGACUGCUGGUGUUUCAAAUCAUAUUGCUGUGGGUCGGCUGUUUAGAACAAUUGAAUCCCAUUCAAGAACUGCUUUGCCAAUCAACAUGCUAAGAAAAGCAUUCUACCAUUUCAGUGCUUUAAGGCAGUACUCAUACAAUUUUUUUUGUUACCGCUGUGGUUAUCAUCCAUCCAUUGUCAUAGCAGACACCAAUUGGAAAGUUGCAUUUGAUAUACCAGUCAAUCUCAUGAGACGCCCGGACAUUCAGAACAUUGGCCUCCAGGACACCCUUGUUAAUGUGGCAGCAAGAUGGGAGAACCUGGAAAAGGAGAUCAUUGCCACUGGAUUUUGUGACG